UACGUAGGGGGCAAGCGUUGUCCGGGUUUAUUGGGCGUAAAGAGCGUGUAGGCGGCCGUACAGGUCAGCUGUGAAAACUCGAGGCUCAACCUCGAGACGUCGGUUGAAACCGUACGGCUAGAGUCCGGAAGAGGAGAGUGGAAUUCCCGGUGUAGCGGUGAAAUGCGCAGAUAUCGGGAAGAACACCCGUGGCGAAGGCGGCUCUCUGGGACGGUACUGACGCUGAGACGCGAAAGCGUGGGGAGCGAACAGG
rnacentral:rRNA from 1 species